GAGUGUGGCAGAGGGGGGUGGAAUUCCACGUGUAGCAGUGAAAUGCGUAGAUAUGUGGAGGAACACCGAUGGCGAAGGCAGCCCCCUGGGUCAACACUGACGCUCAUGCACGAAAGCGUGGGGAGCAAACAGGAUUAGAUACCCUGGUAGUCCACGCCCUAAACGAUGUCAACUAGGUGUUGGGGG
rnacentral:rRNA from 1 species